AGUGAACGCUGGCGGUAGGCCUAACACAUGCAAGUCGAACGGCAGCACAGUAAGAGCUUGCUCUUACGGGUGGCGAGUGGCGGAGGGGUGAGGAAUACAGCGGAAUCUACUUUUUCGUGGGGGAUAACGUAGGGAAACUUACGCUAAUACCGCAUACUACCUACGGGUGAAAGCAGGGGAUCUUCGGACCUUGCGCGAUUGAAUGAGCCGAUGUCGGAUUAGCUAGUUGGCGGGGUAAAGGCCCACCAAGGCGACGAUCCGUAGCUGGUCUGAGAGGAUGAUCAGCCACACUGGAACUGAGACACGGUCCAGACUCCUACGGGAGGCAGCAGUGGGGAAUAUUGGACAAUGGGCGCAAGCCUGAUCCAGCCAUACCGCGUGGGUGAAGAAGGCCUUCGGGUUGUAAAGCCCUUUUGUUGGGAAAGAAAAGCAGCAGGUUAAUACCCCGCUGUUCUGACGGUACCCAAAGAAUAAGCACCGGCUAACUUCGUG
rnacentral:rRNA from 1 species